UUCCCCGAAAGCCUUGGCGACCGCCUGCUUCUGUCUCCGUGUCUGACGUCAUCCGCCGCUGACACCGGCACGCCCAGUUCCAGUCCGCGUCAGCAUGGGCAAUUUGCUGUGUGUGCGGAGCGCAGAGGAGCAAGGGCUUCCGCGACUUGUGGCCAGCGUCCUGCUCUCGGGGCCAGGCUACCCUCUUAUAGUGGCCGCCACCAGCCACCGCAGUCCCAUGACCAGAACACCCCAGGCCAGGCCCGCCCCUUCUCCCCGCGCUUCGCCCGGAUGGCAUUGCCAUCUUCAAUCAUGUGACCUACCUGACAAAAUGGGGAUAAGUUGAACAAUAUGGGAUUCUCCAGCAUUGGAGAGUUCCCAAAGCAACCAGGAACUAAGGAUCCAAGGUACCAAAGAGAAGGGAUGCUCGCUGAGGCAAGUCCAACAUUCUUAGUGCCUCCUCUCCCACAGAGACCGUUGACCAUACCUAGUCACACAAUUGUAAAAUGGUUGAAAAAUAAAAGACUAGAAAACAUUAAAAACAGCAAAAAAAUUAAAGACAUUUUACCUUUAAAGAGUAAAUACUGAAAGAGUGGUCAAAACAAAAUUAAACCCCACAGGCAUCUAACAAGCUGAUGGAUAGAACAAAAUGAAAAUACUUCCUUAAUUCAAAAGGUGAGAAAAAAACAUGUCAAGAACCCUCUGAAUAUCCAUAAGUGUUGCAAAUCCACCUGAGGAGUCACCGUGGGCAAUUUUACUUAAUUUGUGGGGGGUCAGUGGAUGGAUGAAGUUUCAUCUGACACCUGGGCCUGAACCAGAACUUGUGAUGCCAGCUCUGGCCUAGAGAAAUCCCAGAAUGCCACAGCCACAGACACACUGCCUCACUAUUCCCAACUUGACCCGGAAGAAAUUCUGCAGCUUCUGGAAAGGCGUGGCUUUCACCUAUCACACCUCUGUCCAAAAAUAGUCCCUGUGUCCAUAAGAGUGGGGAGCAAAGGUGCAGGAGUCCAGCAAGGAAACAGCCAGAGGCAGGGAGAGAAAAGGAGCCCUCAUUUGCCUUCCUCUUAGUGUGUGACAUUCCCCAAAGGUUGCCAGGUCAGUGGCAUUUCCUGGCUCAGGGAUCCAGCUAGAGGUGAGGGUGACUUCGCUGACUCAAAGACCCAGCAGGACAGUGGUGGUGAGCCUCUCCAAAAGAUAGUGGCUUUGGGGCCUUUCCAUGGAACAAAAGCAGCUUCCACACUGCAGAGCUUUAUGAACCCCUGCAGGCCCCAGAGGGCGCCCCCCAUCCAGGCGCAGCGGGAUUCUGCACAUCCUCCUCUACCUGCACUAUCUCUGCCCUCUGCCCCUGAGGUCUGCGAAGGGUUAUGUAGGGAUCAAGGAGAGGUGAUGACUUCUGUGCUGAAGAGGCAGCAGCUGGAGACCCAGGAGGUUGUGUGCGGUAGAUGCAGGACCAGGUGGGGAGUAAACAGAUGGAGCCAGGGGAAAAUGGGCCCCAGAGUGAUCAAAAGGAGACCCGAGAGGGAUGGAGAGAGGAAGACAAGUGACACAGGAGUGGGGAGCCUGAAAAACACCCAGGGGACCCCUUCUGGGAGCUCAAGAGGGUUCACUUAAGGGAGAUCUUGCACAAGCUCCAGUAACCCUUCCCCAUGCCUAUCCAUGCCUGCCUUUAGCCAGGCUCAGGAAGGACAUUUUUUGGUCCUUUUCCACUUUCAUUUUAUUUUCCAGUUUCAUCACACAAACACUUUGGGGAGAGGUGGGGACUAAGGAACCACACCCUUGACAUUGCCCAACCCAUCUGGGUGCCUCUAAUUCAUACUACCUGUUACCUCAAGGAGAAAUGCUGGGUGGGAAGACUCUUCCCACACCAGGCAUUUCCCAGGCUCCUCUUUCCAUAAUGUCUCACAUAAAAGUGGGUGUUGUUAUGGCUAGGGAAAUAUAAAUUCAUUUUUUAAAUAUCAGUGAAUUCACAGGAGAUUUGGUCAUUGUGUAGUACAGCGGUUUUCGAAUUUGAACAUGCGUCAGAAUCUCUUGGAGCACCGGUUCAAACAGAUUUCUGGGCUCCAGCCUGUUGUUCUCCUAUUCAGCGGAUCUCUUCCAGAGCAUUUGCAGAUUGAGAAAGUUCACAGAUGCUGCUGACGCUGCUGGUCCAGGGACCACACUUUGAACCCUGCUAAUCUAGGUUAUCAAAACUACAGCUAAUUUUAGGGAAAGGUCUAUUUGUUUUGUUUUUCAAACAACCUUCUCUGGUUUAUUUGAACUCUUAGCCAAUUUUUCCAGCCUUAUCUCUUCCUCAAAUAUGUCCAAACAUUUCAUGGAUGAUACAGACCAAAAUAGUAACAAGAAUGGCAAGAAUGAAAAUGAUACUCCAUGCUCUUAAAUACAGAGAAAAAAUUUGUGGUUGCCAGAGGGUGAGGGGUGGAAUGGGCAAAAUAGAUAAAGAGGAUUAAGAGGUACAACUUCCAGUUAUAAAAUAAGUCAGGGAAAUGAAAAGUACAGCCUAAGGAAUAUAUUCAGUAAUGCUGUAAUAAUGUUGCAUGGUGACCCCACUAGUCCUGGUGAGCACUGCAUCGCUGUACACCUGAAACUAAUAAAACAUUGCAUGUUAAUUAUACUUCAAUAAAAAGAAAAUGAUACUCAAACUCAACAUGUUGUAAACAUUAUGUACAGCUAAAGUAUGCCCAUCAUACCUUAAUAAAGUGUUUUUUAGAUGAAAAUGAUAAAA